ACUUUAGAGAGAAUAAUGGAGCGGAUUGCUUCUCGAGUAAAUAAUGACAGCACUGUACGCUUCAAUAUCAUAAGAAGAAAUGUGUGGGAUGGAGCAUCCAGAGCCAUGGGCAGAUCCAAUUUUUCACCCGAGAAGAAGGUAGAUGUUAAGUUCACUGAUGACUAUGGAAUAUCUGAGGGUGCUGUGGACAAUGGAGGACCUACUCGGGAGUUUUUUCGACUCUGUCUACAUGAAAUCAAGGACAACAUUGGCAUCUUUGAGGGUCCCCCUAAUGCUAAAGUCCUCACAUGCAACUCCAAAGCGAUGAAAGACAAUGGAUACUUCUACGCUGGCCAGAUCAUGGCAAUGUCAAUUGCCCAUGGGGGGCAGAGUCCAUGUUUCCUGUCUGAACUCUUGUAUGAGUGUCUUCAAAAGGGUCCAGACCGUAAAGGUCAAAACUGAACACAUUACUGAUGAAGAAACAAGGUCACAGGUUCAGUUGAUCUUACAGGCUGAGACUGAUUCACAACUGCAAGAGGCAGUUGCACAGGCAGCCAGCUUGAUCAGUCUUGCUGGUCACAAUGUUCGCAUAACACUGGAAAACAAACAAGAGACUGCUUUGGACUUUGCUCACUGGUAUGUCCU